rnacentral:rRNA from 1 species
GAUGAACGCUGGCGGCGUGCUUAACACAUGCAAGUCGAACGAUGACGCCCAGCUUGCUGGGUGGUUUAGUGGCGAACGGGUGAGUAACACGUGAGUAACCUGCCCUUCACUCUGGGAUAAGCCUGGGAAACUGGGUCUAAUCCCGGAUAGGAUCGUCCACCGCAUGGUGGGUGUUGGACAUAUUUAUCGGUUUUGGAUGGACUCGCGGCCUAUCAGCUUGUUGGUUAGUUAAUGGCUCACCAAGGCGACGACGGGUAGCCGGCAUGAGAGGGUGACCGGCGACACGGGGACUGAGAGACGGCGCAGACUGCUACGGGAGGCAGCAGGGGGGAAUAUUGCACAAUGGGCGCAAGCCUGAUGCAGCGACGCCGCGUGAGGGAUGACGGCCUUCGGGUGGUAAACCUCGUUCAGUAGGGAAGAAGCGAAAGUGACGGUACCUGCAGAAGAAGCACCGGCUAACUACGUG